rnacentral:rRNA from 1 species
UACGUAGGGUGCGAGCGUUAAUCGGAAUUACUGGGCGUAAAGUGUGCGCAGGUGGCCGCGCAAGUCGAGUGUGAAAUCCCCCGAGCUUAACUUGGGAAUUGCGCUCGAAACUACGUGGCUCGAGUGUGGCAGAGGAAGGUGGAAUUCCACGUGUAGCGGUGAAAUGCGUAGAGAUGUGGAGGAACACCGAUGGCGAAGGCGGCUAUCUGGACAGAGUCUGACGCUGAGGCGCGAAAGCUAGGGGAGCAAACAGG